rnacentral:rRNA from 1 species
CGAGUUAACGUUGGCGGCGUGCCUAACACAUGCAAGUCGAACGCGUCCUAAGGGCAACUUUAGGAUGAGUGGCGAACGGGUGAGUAUCACGUGGGUAAUCUUCCUUUAAGUGGGGAAUAAGCUCUCGAAAGGGAGUCUAAUACCGCAUGACAUUCCGGGACACAAGUCCCGUAAUCAAAGCCGCAAGGCGCUUGAAGAUGAGCCUGCGUCCUAUUAGCUAGUUGGUGGGGUAACGGCCUACCAAGGCUCAGAUGGGUAGCCGGCCUGAGAGGGUGAACGGCCACACUGGGACUGAGACACGGCCCAGACUCCUACGGGAGGCAGCAGUGAGGAAUUUUGCGCAAUGGGGGAAACCCUGACGCAGCGACGCCGCGUGGAGGAUGAAGGCCUUCGGGUCGUAAACUCCUGUCAGAGGUGAAGAAUGCCCGCAAGGGUUUGACGGUAACCUCAGAGGAAGCCCCGGCUAACUACGUG